GCUUUUUCCUUUGAAGUGUCGCAAGUUAGAAAACUUCCAAAUGCUUUUUAACUUAAUAGCAAAGUAUAAGGAGUAGGUUAUUGUCCCUUGUGCCAUGAGUGUAAUCCUCUAUUAGUUAGAGUAAAACAAGCUGCUAUAAUAAAUAAAUCCCAAACGUUUAGUGGCUUAACGUAAUAAAAGCUUAUUUCUUCACCAUAUACCAGUCUGAUGUGUGUAAUACUGUUCAGCAGGGAGCUGUCUUUCUUAGGGUAAUUCAGACUCUUGAGCUCCUUCCAUCUCAUGGUUCCUCUGUCUUCUGUGUCCAAACAAUGGAAAAUCCUGGAAUGGAACGUAUCACUUCUACUAACAUUCCACUGGUAGGAGCCAGUUACAUGGUCAUACCUGCAUGCAAUAGGUAGUAGGACUGUGGUUGGACAGUCCCCUCCUAGCAACAAAUGCACACUACAGAAGGGGGAAUAUAAAUUUUGGGGAUGUUAGCCAGCAGUUUCUGUCACACUAUACUAUCUUAGGUGGGUGAAAACCAUGGUGUUAACUUACUUAACCCUCUCCUAACUGACUCACUCCAGCCCAGCAAGCAGUUUCCAAAGCUGUCCUUGGGAUAGGCUGUACCCCAAUCCUGCCUUAUUUCUAGCACAGCACCUAAGUCACGCCGCUGCAACUGGCAAGUUCUGUAGAAGAGUCAGCAGCAGGUGUGGGUCAGGGGCCCGAUUCACUUCCUGCAGCGGUACCAUCCCUUUCUAAUUCUACAAAGUUUCUUUAGGUAAUUACACAUUUGACAAAGAAUUUAUUUGUUUGUUGCCCUUUUGGCUUUGAGAAGGUAAAUACAUUUUUAUAAGACCAUGUCAACUUCAAAGUUCUGGUCUGGCAUGUAAGAAGCUUAGAAGUCACCACUCCAUCCUAACAAGUUAAAAUCUAAACAGACCUAAAAGUCAACAACUCUUCUUAGAGCUGACAGAGAAGUGAGGUCACAGGGGAAAGCACUGCCUCCCAGAUUGGAAAGAUAGACAGAUACAGAGAGUCACAACUUACCGGAGUGGGAAUCUUCAGGGGAGUCAGUACUGGGGUAGGAAAACUGAACUGUAAGUCAUCAACUGCUGUAGGUUCAGGGCAGCCAAGUCUGAGAGUAAAAACUCCAGGAAGACUGAGUCAUAGAAAGACCCCCCACGCUGUUGUGAGUUUUGCCUCCAGGAGCUCGACCAGGUUCUCACAAAAUGUUGACAUGCAAAUUGCUGGAACAACUGUCAAAUAUUUUAAGUGCUUAUUGCCUCACUUGAAGUGGAUGAAUAAUUGCAUCAUAUGCCUAUAUAUUAGAAGAGACAAGACGUUUUCAUGGAUUUGCUUCCUGCAUCUCUAUUUUCUUCUAGUUUUUGUCCAAGUAAUGAUCUGA
rnacentral:lncRNA from 1 species